AUUGACCGCUGGCGGCAUGCUUUACACAUGCAAGUCGAACGGCAGCGCGGGCUUCGGCCUGGCGGCGAGUGGCGAACGGGUGAGUAAUGCAUCGGAACGUGCCAAGUAGUGGGGGAUAGCUCGGAGAAAGGCGGAUUAAUACCGCAUACGACCUGAGGGUGAAAGCGGGGGAUCUUCGGACCUCGCGCUAUUGGGUCGGGCGAUGGCUGAUUAGCGAGUUGGUGGGGCAAAUGCCUACCAAGGCGACGAUCUUUAGCUGGUGUGAGAUGGCGACCAGCCACACUGGGACUGAGACACGGCCCAGACUCCUACGGUAGGCAGCAGUGGGGAAUUUUGGACAAUGGGCGAAAGCCUGAUCCAGCAAUCUCGCGCGUUUGCUGAAGCCCUUCGGGUUGUAAAGCACUUUUAGCGGGAAGGAAAAGGACUUGGCCAAUAUCACGAUUCGAUGACGGUACCUGCAGAAUAAGCACCGGCUAACUACGUG
rnacentral:rRNA from 1 species